rnacentral:piRNA from 1 species
UUCAGCGUUAACAUGCCAAAU